AAUAAAAAGGUGAUCGUGUAAAUGAUGGGUUAUGUAUAAGGGAAGGAAUACACACAAAGAGUGAGCAAAUGCCGGCAAGCCUGUUUUUCACAGUCAGGGAGGAGGAGGACCAGUCAUCUUUUAUUUAUAUGCUCCUGUUAGACGUUUUUAAAAUGAAACUGGGGGGAGGGGGGUGUAAAAAGAGCACAGAUGUGAUUCCCUGACUCUCAGGUGACCACCUCAUUAAAAGUGUCAGUGUUGAGAGUUCCCGUGGUGGCUCCACAGAAACGAAUCUGACUAACAUCCAUGGGGACGCAGGUUCAAUCCUUGGCCUCGCUCAGUGGGUGAAGGAUCUGGUGUUGCCAUGAGCUCUGGCGUAGGUCACAGACACGGCUCGGAUCCUGCAUUGCUGUGGCUGUGGUGUAGGCCAGUAGCUACAGCUCUGAUUUGACCCUUAGCCUGGGAACCUCCGUAUGCUGUGGGUGCGAGCCUAAAAAAAAAAAGCAAACAAAGAAAAGAGUCAUUGUUAACAUUUUCCCAACUUUCUAAUUAUGUUUACCAGCUUGCCUCUUUCCCAAAGUCCAGAUAAUAUAAGCAUAUUCAACAUUCUUUGUUGUUGGCUAAUGCUAGAAAUGUGAUUUUUUUUUUAAGGUUCAGUGUAACAGAAAAUGAUCGAUUUUCCCUCACCAACACUUCCUAUAGCCUGUGGAGACCACGUGGAUGAUGAUAUGGGAAUUUUGAUAAAACCAUGCUCUUUCUUUCCUCCCUUCCUGUAACCCUCCAUCAGUGAGCUGCUUAUGAACUUUGCUAGUGUAUUUCUCUCCCUGAACCCUGCACAUGGGGAUGAGUCCUGGCCAUAAUAAUAUUAAUAUUGUUGUGGGUUCGAUCCCUGGCCUUCCUCAGUGGGUUAAGGAUCCAGGAUUGCCGUGAGCUGUGGUGUAGGUCACAGAGGCGGCUCAGAUCCAGCGUUGCUGUGCCUUUGGUGUAGGCUGGCAGCUACAGCUCCAACUGGACCCUCAGCCUGGGAAACUCCAUAUGCCACGGAUGUGGCCCUAAACAGCAAAUAAUAAUGAUAAUAAUAAUAAUAAUAUUGUAAUUCAAGUUUCCUCCAGGCUUACUCAACUGCACAAAUAACAAGAACAACCCCAGUUCAAGUUUCCCUGGUUCUUUCCGUAGCCUGGGGACAGUGGACCUUCAACCCUCUGAAAUAUAUCUUUCAAAUAUUUCUGGAGGUCCCUGGAAGGUAACUUCCACAAGCUGAUGAGUAAGAUCCCUGCACCCAGCUGGUCUAAGGGCUCUGUGGGCCAUUUAAUGGCCAUCUCCAUCUCCUGCUUGGAAUUUCCAUCUAUUUUGCAGCUGAGGCCCUAGAAAUCAGAGGUGGUCAAGUUGCUUGGCAUCUUCUUUUAGGUGGGAGGUGUGCUUCCUUCCCAUCCCCCAGGCCCAGCCAACCACAGUGACGGUAUCCAGCUGUGUGGCUUCUGCCUCAGUAUAUUACAGAAUUAUUAGUGAUUCAGAAUUUCACUUUCCCAUUGUAGUUCCCCUCCUGUUCAAAGGACUCAGGCUUUCAUUCUUGAUUAUGUGUUGACUGCCUGCUCUGUGAAGACACAUACAAUUUUUACAACAAUGGGUGAAAGAGCCAAGGACCCUGCCAGGCUGGAAUUUUCAGUCUCUUCAUAGAGAAGGACAAUGAACAAGGAAAUAAAAGCAGCUAAGUAUGUAACUACAAAUGGAGAGAUGCAGCAAAGGAAACAAAGAGGCAGGAGAGAAAAUAACUUUAGACAGGAUGGUGAGAAAAGUCCUCUGAAGCAGUGAUGGCUUCUCUAACAACCAAGACAUUGAAAUGCCAGAUUUGAGAAAAGGGAGGGAAGGAGAUGGAGAAGAGAAGAGAAAUAGGAACAGAAGGAGGAGGAGCUAACUUUUUUUUUUUAAUUGAAGUAUAGUUGAUUUACAAUGUUGUGUUAGUUUCAAGUGUAUAGUAAAGUGAUUAGGUUAUACAUACAUAUUUUUUUUCAGACUUUUUUCCCUUAUAGGUUAUUACAAAAUCUUGAUUAGAGUUCCCUGUCAUAUACAGUAGGUCUUUGUUGGUCAUCUCUUUUAUAUAUCGUGGUAUGUAUAUGUUAAUCCCAAACUCCUCAUUGAUCCCUUCCCUCCUUUCCCCUUUGAGAAACAGUUUUAGUUAUUAUGAACUAGGAAUAGUCUUAGAAAUUUACAUAUAUAAAUAUCCUUUCAUCCUAACCCAAACCUAUGAGGUAGGACAAGUGUUGGCCCCAUCCCCCAGGUGAGUCAGAUGAAGCAAGGGAAAGGGUAAGUAAGGGGAAAGGCAGAACUUGAACCCAGGCUGUCUAAGACCCUAAGGAAGGAAAGACUUUGAGUUAUUGCAGUAACAUACAGGCCAGUGUGGCUGAAGCAGAAUGCAAAAAGGGGAAAUCAGCAGGCGAUGGAGCUGGCAAGGCAGGCAGCGACUAGACCAUGCAUGGGUACGUGGUCAUAUUCAUUCUGGGAGUAAUUCAUGGUCUAUUACAACUACUCCAAAGGAAUAGUGUUGUACUGAAGAGCCAGCUGUAGUCAUAAAAAUAAUUAUCACUUAUAUUCUUUUUGUAAGCUGAGGUAUUAGAAAAUGAGAGUGCUCCCCUUAUGUUGUGAAUAAGACAGGAGACUUAAGAUCCCAGAGAAUGAAUUAUACUCACUGGCACAUAUGUUGACUUGACAUAUCAUGUAGGAAAUUGCACCAUCUCCCAGCGCUUACCUGUAGCAACACAUUCCCUGUGUUACAGAAUUACGGGUGGCCAAAUUAAACAGCAUGCUCCUUGGGGUUGAAUCCUGAGUUACCAAACAUAGAGAUGAGGAAGGGCCAGAAGAAGAGCCAGUUAUCAGAGUGACCUGGUCCUCUGCAGGCAGUGAUGAGCUCUGCCUUGGUGGGGUCAGCUUUGAGUGACACCCUUGCUCCGGCCACAGGCUACAACCUGGAGCCUCUCCCUUUGCUUCUUAACUUGGGCAGUAAGUCCUGGAGAUGAAGAUGUACCACUGUGGUNAGGGUAACGAACCCGACUAGAAUCCAUAAGGAUUCGGGUUCAAUCCCUGGUCUUGCUCAGUGGGUUAAGGAUCCCCCGUUGCCGUGAGCUGUGGUGUUGGUUGCAGAUGAGGCUUGGAUCUGGUGUUGCUGUGGCUGUGGUGUAGGCCAACAGCUGCAGCUCUGAUUUGACCCCUAGCCUGGGACCUUCCAUAUGCUGCGGGUGCAGAAAGAAAAAAAAAAAAAAGAAUUAAAGGGAUGAAGUGACUACUUUUUUUAAAAACGCCUGUAAGUUAUAGCAAUGGAAAGGGUGACAAAGCAAGAGUUUUUUCAUCCUUAAGUUCAGUUUUAUGUCUGCUUGCUCUCCUGAAUCCUUUCCAAGGAUUCCUCCACCUCUUAGGGAAACACAAAUUUGCCAAAAAAUAAAAAUGAGAAGAUGAACUCAAUCUAAUCACAUAAACUUGAGUCUAACCUCAGCUCUAGUCAAAGUAGGAAGAACAGAGAGGGGAUUUCCCAAAUUGUGUUUGCUUGUAAUGAUAAAACCUCAUUGGUUAGUGUGCUCUUCCUUUUUGUUGAGGACAUCCAUCCGCCACUUCCUCCUCUCCAGCAGCCCCUCAUUUUCUGUCUGGGGACCCCUGUGAUUCCUGAAAGACUAAUUCCAUCCUGGUGGAAAGGAGGGAACACGUGCGCUGAGCAAUGCCAGCAGCACAUCUAUCCCCCAGUCAUGGUGACUGUGUCUAAGCUCCUUCAUUCACAGGAUGCUCAGGACUUUUUCUAGGAAUGCAAGAUGAAGCCUCCUGAUGUCUUUGAAUUAGAAACCCUGAGGCUAGAGACGUCUGGGGACUGCAGAGCCGCCUGACCUUCGAAUAGGGUCAACUCUAAGAAAAACGAGGUAGGUAUACACACAGUGAAGAGCAAGGUCCCAAUGACAUUACUGAGAAAAGGACCCCUCCCCCCAUCAGAAACCUGGACUCUUCAGGGAUGUGAGUUGAUUAAAUUGAGUUCAGCAAGUAUUUACUGAGCGACAACUUACAUGCCAGGUAUGAUAUCAAGCACUUAGAAUACAUGAAUGCAUGAACCAGACAAGGCUUACUGUCAGUAUUCAGGAGACAAACAAUAGACAAUACACAUAACAGGUAAACUGAUAGUAUGUUAGAGGGUGAUUAAUGCUGUGGGAAAAAGAAAAGAACAAGGUAAGGGAGUGGGAGAGUGGAGGAGGGAAGCUUGGGGUGCAGGCUCCAUGGUUGAAGCUGGAAUGAGGCUGAUCUCUCACUACUUGCUGUCUAUUACCUGUAAAUAAAUACCUUAGGACACUUAAAAUACUUGCAACUCACCUCCAACCCAUAUACACACCCAGAAGCAGAAAUUAUAAUAGACAAAAAGAAAGAGAAGGAAUAUUAAUUAGAUUUGUCUAAGAUUCAGGAAGGGGAAAAAAAUUGUAUUUGAAUUCAGGAUAGAGAUUGAACUAAUUGAUUUCAAAACACAGAUCCACAUUUCUGGGCAGGAUGUGGGGAGGCUUGUGUGAAAUGCCUCCAUUUCAAUCCUGUGGCACUUUGGCAUAAAUUACCAUACUUUCCUGAACCAGCAAGAUUCUUUCACUCCCACUGUUUCUGCUUCUUGAAAUAUAAAAAGAAUCACUUGUCUCUGUUUCCAGUUUUGAUAUAUGGAAAAUGCAGCCGAUGAAUGCUGACAAUGCUUCAUAACUUGAGAUGUCAGAUUCUGUGAUUCAUUUUCCCAGGCACCAACUUGCCAGAAUGAUGGUAAAGCCGACCUUUAUUCUAAAACUACAUUGAAAGCCAGCAAUCAAGAAAGCCAGGAAGAAAGAGUGAAUGAGAAAGAGAGAAAGAGAGAACAAAUUAACUUCAUGUAGAUAUGUCUGCUCCCACCCACCUUUCUGAGUACGUGGCUAGUGGCUUCCUGUAAAGGAAACAUUUUGUCGGCUCUUGUCUUAGUUAGUUAAAACUGGCAUUCCCCCCUUGUACAACUGUGCGGUGUUGUGUAAAAGAAACCAUCACCAUAGAGACUCUGGUCUCUUGAACACUAGAUAUGGUGGCGCGCACUCGGUCUCGCCACGGCAUCUGUUCAUAGGCUGUGUGUUUUUAGAUCCAGUGCCAGACGAACUAAAGCUAUGCUCUGAUAAUGCCAAAAAGACAUUUAUAAACAUGACUAAAUGGGCCUAGUGGGUUUUUAUGCAAAUGCAUUGUGCCUUUAUACCAGUUUCAGAUCUCCACUCCGACUUUCCCUGGAUGCUUUGCCGUUUAGCCUCCAUGAAGCUGACCUGCAGCGCCAGGGAGGAGUGGGGAGGACAAAUACAGGAGAUGAUGGCCUCCCUCUCAAAGUCUCUCCCUAAAAACUAAGUGAUGGAAAAGCACCUGAUCCCCUCCAGGAAGACACACUGAAGUUGGAAUAAUUUUGUUUUUACACUUGUGAAAAGAGGCGCCUUAAAUCAUUGGGAAAGGAAAUUUUAUUCGACAAAUCAUAUUGAGACAAUGGGUCAGGGCUUUUGCGAAACAGAAGAUGCUCCCCAUUUACAUUAAAUCCCAGUGGUUGACACCCAAUGACACAUGCACACAAAUGCAUACACAGGGGUAUACACACACACAAACGCAAACACACACAGGCAAAGAAAUCUAACUGUACAUGCCAAGAAAAAAAAAUAAUUGAAUAUUUGAUCACUAGUCGUGAAGGGCACUCUGUCAUGUCAGAAAUCCCAAGGAAAAGGAAGACAGACCUGAUGACUUGAAAAUAUUAAGUUAAGAAAAUUGUAAGAUAAAAAAAAAAUAAUAAAGAACAUAUAAUGAAAAUAGAAACAUCCAAAUAGAGGGGAAAACCAUCAGUGACUAUCAGGAUUACAAUCUAGCAUCUUUACAACAUACAGAGCUUCUAAAAAGUGAUUACAAAAACAUGAAAAUUCCAGAAUAAAAGUGGGCAAAGGACACCAGACAACUCAGAGCAAAUAUAAAUGAACUAAAAAAAUAGAUGAAAAAAUGUCCAUCUCCCUACUUAACAAAGGCAAAAUUCAAAGAGGAGAAGGGAACCUUUCUUACUACCAAGUUAGCAAAAAAUAAUGCCUUUUCCUAAUAGUGCUGAUAAGAGGACAAUGAAACAGGAAAUCUCAUUCACUGCUAGUAGGAGUAUAAAAUUUUCUGGAAAGCAAUCUGUAUUUUCUCAAGAGGCCUCAAAGAUGUUUAUAUCCUUUGACCUAGUAAUCCUACUUCCAAGAACUUAUCGUCAGAAAGUAAUUUAAAAAUUCCAAUAGUCAUUGUUUAUAAAAACCAGGAGCACCCACACAUGUCCACUGCAUAGUUCAGUAUCUUCUUGAGCACCAAAGAUGUGUCCAACUCUGAGCUGGAAUGGAGUCCAAACACAAAACACAUGGUCCUCAUCCUGGCAGAACUGACAACCUGGAAGGAGAUAAGCAGUUAAUUGAGUAAUUAUGACAUUUGCUACAGAACCUCAGAGCCGAGGGAACCUAACCAGAGGAAGUGGCAUUUAAACUAAAAUGUGUGAAGUUAACCAGAAGAUGGGGAUGACAGAGGGAAGAGUGUUUUAGAACAGAAAAUGGCAUCUGCAAAGACCUGGAGGGAAAAAAGCCAGUGACCCUGCCGCUCUGGAGGAGCAGGCGAAGAGGGGUGGGCAGACUGUAAAUCACGUUUAGGAGUUUGUUUGCUCGUUUGUUUUUGGUCAUGCCCAUGGCAUGUGGAAGUUCCCUGACCAGGGGUCAAACCCGCCCCACAACAGUGACCCAAGCCACAGCAGUGACAACGCCAGAUUCUUAAACCCAUUGAUCCACCAGAGAACUCCAUUUAGAAGUUUAGAUUUUAUCCUGAGGGCAGUGGUUUGGUAAAUGAUCCCACAUCCAUUACAUGGAAAUAUAACUUAUUAGGAAAAUAGUUUCUCUGUCCUUCCAUUGUCUGAGGAGACUCAUAAGGAAAAAAAAAAAAA
rnacentral:lncRNA from 1 species